GAUGAACGCUGGCGGCGUGCCUAAUACAUGCAAGUCGAGCGAACAGACGAGGAGCUUGCUCCUCUGACGUUAGCGGCGGACGGGUGAGUAACACGUGGAUAACCUACCUAUAAGACUGGGAUAACUUCGGGAAACCGGAGCUAAUACCGGAUAAUAUAUUGAACCGCAUGGUUCAAUAGUGAAAGACGGUUUUGCUGUCACUUAUAGAUGGAUCCGCGCCGCAUUAGCUAGUUGGUAAGGUAACGGCUUACCAAGGCAACGAUGCGUAGCCGACCUGAGAGGGGGAUCGGCCACACUGGAACUGAGACACGGUCCAGACUCCUACGGGAGGCAGCAGUAGGGAAUCUGCCGCAAGGGGCGAAAGCCUGACGAAGCAACGCCGCGUGAGUAAUGAAGGUCUUCGGAUCGUAAAACUCUGUUAUUAGGAAAAAACAAAUGUGUAAGUAACUAUGCACGUCUUGACGGUACCAAAUCAGAAAGCCACGGCUAACUACGU
rnacentral:rRNA from 1 species